AUUUAACUUUCACACAUUAAAGUCCAAUACAGCUAAUGAAAGACACAGAUCUUGUGAAUCCAGCCAACAUGUCCGAUUUUUAAAAUGUUUUACAGGGAAGACACAAUAUGUAAAGAUGUAAAUCUAUUAGCUAAACACAUUAGCAUAAUCCACCAUCUUUUCUUUGUCCACCAACACCAGUAGCUAUCACCAAUUCGGCUAAACUAAGAUAUUGAUAGCCACUAACCAAGAAAAAAGCUCAUUAGAUGACAGUCUGAUAACAUAUUUAUGGUAUAGGAUAGGUUUUGUUAGAAAAAUGUGCAUAUUUCAGGUAGAUGUCAUAGUUUACAAUUGCACCCACCGUCACAAAUGGACUAGAAUAAAUACAAUGAGCAACGUGUUUACCUAACUACUAAUCAUCAAACAUUUCGUAAAAAUACACAGCAUACACUAAUCGAAAGACACAGAUCCUGUGAAUACAGACAAUAUUUCAGAUUUUCUAAGUGUCUUACAGCGAAAACACAAUAAAUCGUUAUAUUAGCAUAGCACAUGUGCAAACAUUACCAGAGCAUUGAUUCUAGCCAAAGAGAGCGAUAACGUAAACAUCGCCAAAAUAUAUUAAUUUUUUCACUAACCUUCUCAGAAUUCUUCAGAUGACACUCCUGUAACAUCACAUUAUAACAUACAUAUACAGUUUGUUCGAAAAUGUGCAUAUUUAGCCACCAAAAUCAUGGUUAGACAAUGAGAAAAGUAGCCCAGCUGGUCAGAAAAUAUCCUGCGCCAUAUUAGACAGUGAUCUAGUCGUAUACAUAAAUACUCAUAAACGUGACUAAAAAAUAUAGGGUGGACAGCGAUUGAUAGACAAUUUAAUUCUUAAUACAAUCGCGGAAUUACAUUUUUUAAAUUAUCCUUACUUUUCAAUACAGUUUGCGCCAGGCGAAGCUACGUCAAACAAGAUGGCGUCCUAAGCCAUUAACAUCUUUCGACAGAAACACGAUUUAUCAUAAUAAAUUGUUCCUACUUUGAGCUGUUCUUCCAUCAGAAUCUUGGUCAAAGAAUCCUUUCUUGGGUCUAAUCGUCUUUUGGUCGAAAGCUGUCCUCUUGCCAUGUAGAAUGCCCAUUGCGUUCGGCAUGAAUUGGAAGCGUGCCCAGAGAUUCACAGUGUCUCAGAAAUAAAUGUCCCAAAAUCGCACUAAACGGGUAUAAAUUGCUAUAAAACGGUUUAAAUGAACUACCUUAUGAUGUUUUUAACUCCUAUAACGAGUAGAAACAUGACCUGAGAAAUAUUACUGGCUCCACUAAUGCUUGGAAAAAGAACGGGUCGGUGCCCACCGUGCGUCCGACGCAGCAGGAAAGGAGUGCCUACCUACACGUGUUUUUCAUUUAUAGUGGCUGUGAUUGCGCAAUCCACACCAUUCAAAUCGUCAUCACGUAAAGGCAUCCAGGGGAAGACGUAAGCAGUGUCCGUAUACUCAUAGCAAUAACAGUGGCCUUAAAACUGACUCCAGAACAGGGGCCAAAAUGUGUGAAAUCUGACUCCAUGUCAGGGAAAUUGCUGUAGAAUGAGUUCUGUUCCACUCAGAGACAAAAUUUCAACGGCUAUAGAAACUAUAGACUGUUUUCUAUCCAAUAAUAAUAAUAAUAUGCAUAUUGUACGAUCAAGAAUUUUGUAGGAAGCCGUUUCAAAAAUUACACGAUUUCCAUAAAUAGUGACAACAGCACCCCCUAGCCUCAACAGGUUUUAACAAGUAAUUUGAAAGAGUAAGACCAUUUCAGCGAGACAAUUCAAAGGCGAAAUCCAGUAAUGCCAAGAUAAUGGAAUUCAUUAUGCUACUUGCUAUGGGCAUUUGGACGGCUGAUACGGCUGACAUUUGGACAAGCGAUGUCAGCCCCAUGAGCAUGCUGAGUCUGAGUCUGACUGCACAGUGGGUCGACGAGGAUUUCGUACUGAGGAAAGCCGUAUUGCAUGCUCAAGAAUGUGCUGGUUCUCAUACGGCUGCUGGCAUUUCAAUGGCAUUUGAGAACAUCUUUGAAACUUGGAAACAUGAACACACUUCUAGCGCCAUUCGAACAACUGACUCGAGAAAUAAGCUAAUCAACUGCAUCUGCAGCAGACGUGAUACCCUCUGUCAUGGCAUUGAAACGCCUGCUCAACAAAACUGCCGACAGACCGUGGGGUGAAAACUUACAAAAAGUACUUGAGGCUGUGAACAAGCGAUUCGGUGGUAUUCUCUCUGAACCUCUUUACUGUGUCGCCACCAUGCUCGAUGCUAGGUACAAGGACCCCUACUUCGAUGCAAACAAGAAACAGGGUUAAUGUGAAAUGUUACAUACACCGCUGGACAAGAUGAAAACGGAUACAGUGACAGUGCGCAACGAGGAAGAGAGGCCACAGACAGACAGAGCUGAAACUUCACAGCUUGACAUGUAUGAUGAAAUCGUGGUUGAGAAUGAAACGACUGAACAAAUUAACACCAAAACAGCACAGCAAGUAACUGAAAGAAAUAGGUAUUGAUGAUGUUUUACUGAUAAUGGGGUCAUACGUAAAUUCUAACAAAAUAACUUUUGGGUCGGUGUGUGGUGUGGUGAAUGUGUGUGUGUAACCUUUAUUUAAUCAGGCAAGUCAGUUAAGAGCAAAUUCUUAUUUACAAUGACGACCUACCCCGGCCAAACCCGGACGACGUUUGGCUAAUUGUGCGCCACCCUAUUGGACUCCAAAUCACGUCCGGAUCUGAUACAGCCUGGAUUCAAACCAGGGACUGUAGUGAUGUCUCUUGCACUAAGAUGCAGUGCCUUAGACCCCUGCGUCCGUGUGUGUGUCUUAAAACUUCUUGUCAAUAUGGGGGCGCUGUUUCCCCAUUGGAAAAAAUAGUGCCCAAAUUAAACUGCCUCGUACUCAAUUCUUGCUCGUACAAUAUGCAUAUUAUUAUUACUAUUGGAUAGAAAACACUCUCUAGUUUCUAAAACCGUUUGAAUUAUGUCUGUGAGUGAAACAGAACUGGACUUAGAGCAAUUUUCAUAUGAGGAUUUGAAAAUGCUGAAAUCUGCUCGCUGUUCCCAGAACAGUUUAUUAAUUUGCCUGUCCUCUAUUGGUUGAGAUGCACUGCAUACGCCUUCCCCUGGGUGUCAGCGAAUAGAGGGACUUGAAAUGGAGUCUCUAGGCAGAUCUGAAAGUUUAUAAAUUGCUUGGAAACGAGGUGUCCCCUCUUUUGACUCUUCGCUCUGACGCAGGGAGGGUCUUGGCAUGUCGUGCUAGAAGCUCCUGUUUUAGCUUUUAGAUAUAUCCGGCUGUUUUUAUUCGAUAUAGGUGUUAAAGACAUCAUAAUGUUGUUAUUUUAAACCGAGUUAUAUCAGUUUAUGUCAGUAUAUUGCAAUUUUCGGGUAUUUCAUUUCCUGGCGUUCUAGGGGGUUGGGUAUCUCUCUCUCUCAAGCUAAUGUUUACUGCUAAUUUCAACGUGGAAGAGGACGUUCUCCAACCUAGCAACGAUUCUUUUGGACAAAGGACACCUUUCCCAAGAUUCUGAUGAGAGUUCAUCAAAAAGUAAGAACUAUUUAUGCUGAUAAUUCGUUGUUCUGUUGAAAAAUGUCAAAUAAUAAUUCUGCCAUGAAUUUCAGGGCGUCUCGCUUUAGCGCACGCUGUAUGCUUGAAGUAACGUUAAUUUUAAAAAUGUAACCCAGCGAUUGCAUUAAGAACUAAUUUGUCCUUCAAUUGCUGUCCAACCUGUAUUUUUUUAGUCAAGUUUAUGAAUAGUUUUCGAUUAGAAUAGGUGCCUCUCCAAGAUGGCGCCGGACAGAUUGCUUGAGGUUUUGGACACUAUUCUCAUUGUAUAAGCACGAUUUGUGCUGCUAAAUAUGCACAUUUUCGAACAAACUCUAUAUGCAUUGUGUAAUAUGAUGUUAUAGGACUGUCAUCUGAAGAAUUCUGAGAAGGUUAGUGAAAAAAUUUAUAUAUUUUGGUGGUUUAUACGUUAUCGCUAUUUUUGCCUUGAAUCAAUGCUGUUGUGAUGUUUGCUAUUGUGGCAUGCUAAUAUAACGCUAUAUUGUGUUUUAGCUGUAAAACACUUAGAAAAUCUGAAAUAUUGGCUGGAUUCACAAGAUCUGUGUCUUUCAUCUGCUGUAUGCUGUGUAUUUUUAAGAAAUGUUUUAUGAUGAGUAAUUAGCUAAUACACGAUGGUCUCUGUAGUUAUUCUAGUCGCUUUGGUGAGAGUUGUGAUAGUGGCUGCAAUGGUAAACUAUGAUUUAUACCUGAAAUAUGCACACUUUUCUAACAAAACAUAUGCUAUACAAUAAAUAUGUUAUCAGACUGUCAUCUGAUGAAGUUGUUUCUUGGUUAGUGGCUAUUUAUAUCUUUAUUUGAUCGAAUUUGUGAUAGCUACUGAUGGAGUAAAAAAAUGGUGGAGUAAAGAAGUGGUGUCUUUUGCUAACGUGGUUAGCUAAUAGAUUUACAUAUUGUGUCUUCCCUGUAAAACAUUUUAAAAAUCAGAAAUGAUGGCUGAAUUCACAAGAUGUGUAUCUUUCAUUUGGUGUCUUGGACUUGUGAUUUCAUGAACAUUUUAUUAUAUGAUAUCCCUGUGGCUUUAGGCUAGGCUAUGCUAGUCAGCUUUUUUGAUGGGGGUGCUCCCGGAUCCGGGUUUGUGAGGCGUUAGAGGUUAUUAACUAUUUAAUUGAACUAUAAUGCUUAAAAGGCCACAACAAUUUUAAAUAUUGGUUAUCGGUAUCGGUAUAAAAUGUUUUUAAGGUUCUAACAAUCGAUAGUAGAUUUGUACAGCAUCUGAAUAUACUGUUUAUAUACACUACCGGUCAAAAGUUUUAGAACACCCACCCAUUCAAGGGUUUUUCUUUAUUUUUACUAUUUUCUACAUUGUAGAAUAAUAGUGAAGACAUAAAAAAUGUGAAAUAACAUAUAUGGAAUUACCAAAAAAGUGUUAAACAAAUCAAAAUAUAUUUUAUAUUUGAGAUUCUUCAAAUAGCCACCCUUUGCCUUGAUGACAGCUUUGCACACUCUUGGCAUUCUCUCAACCAGCUUCACCUGGAAUGCUUUUUCAACAGUCUUGAAGUAGUUACCACUUAUGCUGAGCACUUGUUGGCUGCUUUUCUUUCACUCUGCGGUCCGACUCAUCCCAAACCAUCUCAAUUUGGUUGAGGUCGGGGGAUUGUGGAGGCCAGGUCAUCUGAUGCAGCACUCUAUCACUAUUCUUCUUGGUCAAAUAGCCCUUACACAGCCUUGAGGUGUGUUGGGUCAUUGUCCUGUUGAAAAACAAAUGAUAGUCCCACUAAGCCCAAACCAGAUGGGAUGGCGUAUGGCUGCAGAAUACUGUGGUAGCCAUGCUGGUUAAGUGUGCCUUGAAUUCUAAAUAAAUUACAGACAGUGUCACCAGCAAAUCACCCCCACAUCAUAACACCUCCUCCUCCUCCAUGCUUUACGGUGGUAAAUAAACAUGCGGAGAUCAUCCGUUCACUCACACCGCGUCUCACUAAGACACAAAUAUCUCCAAUUUGGACUCCAGACCUAAGGACACAUUUCCACGGUUUAAUGUCCAUUCCUCGUGUUUCUUGGCCCAAACUAGUCUCUUAUUAUUAUUGGUGUCAUUUAGUAGUGGUUUCUUUGCAAAAAUUCGACCACGAAGACCUGAUUCACACAAUCUCCUCUGAACAGUUAACGUUGAGAUGUGUUGUUACUUGAACUCUGUGAAGCAUUUAUUUGGGCUGCAAUUUCUGAGGAUGGUAACUCUAAUGAACGUAUCCUCUCCAGCAGAGGUAACUCUGGGUCUUCCAUUCCUGUGGACCUCCUCAUGAAAGCCAGUUUCAUCAUAGCGCUUGAUGGUUUUUGCGACUGCACUUGAAGAAACUUUCAAAGUUCUUGAAAUUGUCCAUAUUGACUGACCUUCAUGUCUUAAAGUAAUGAUGGACUGUCAUUUCUCUUUGCUUAUUUGAGUUAUUCUUGCCAUAAUAUGGACUUGGUCUUUUACCAAACUGGUACCAAAUUUUACCAAAUCUUUGGAAUCUGGGAUCAUCAGUGACCGAACUGAAAUUUGUGAUAUUUUUAAUAAGCAUUUUAUUUCUGCUAGUUUUCUUUUUGAAAGAGAAAAUGGCCAACAUGAUCCUUAACGGUCUAUUGUUUCAGCCCCCUCUGCCUUUAGCUGAUGUGGUUAACAGUAAUUUCCAAAAAGUCACAGAAGAUGAGGUCUUAUCUGCUAUAGAUUCUAAGAAAUUGUUAGGCGCUGACAAUCUGGAGCCAUAUUUACUCAAGUGUGCAGCACCUAUCAAUGCUAGUGCAGUGACGUACAUCUUCCAUCAAACAUUAAUCGUAGGAAAGAUUCCUAAAGCUUGGAAAACAGAUUUUGUUUUACCACUACUCAAGGGAGGUGAUGGUAGGGAAUUGGAUAAUUAUUGGCCCAUGUCUAAGCUCUCCUUUUUGGCUGAAAUUCUAGAGUCAUUGGUGAAUAGGCAACUCCAAUCAUUUUAAACUGUUUGUCACGUUCUGACCUUAGUUUAUUUUUUAUGUCUCUAUUUUGGUUUGGUCAGGGCGCGAGUUGGGGUGGGCAUUCUAUAUUUUGCUUUAGGUUUUGUAUUUCUGUGUUUGGCCUGGUAUGGUUCCCAAUCAGAGGCAGCUGUCAAUCGUUGUCUCUGAUUGAGUACCAUUAUUAGGUAGCCUGUUUUCCCACUUUGAGUUGUGGGUGAUUGUUUUCUGUUUUGUGUGUAUACCUUACAGAACUGUUUCGUUUUGUUCUCUCUCUUUGUUGUUUUUGUCAUUUCAGUGUUCAGUUUAUUUUAUAACAUUAAAAAUGAACACUUACCACGCUG